UAUCGAUAGCGUAAAAGUUAACUCAUAUUUGUAUGGAAUGGGAUAAUUUGCUUAUGUUUGCCGCUAGGGGCGCUGUUCCAACUUCAUACAAAAUUGGGCUAACUUUUACGCUAUCGA
rnacentral:pre_miRNA from 9 species